rnacentral:rRNA from 1 species
AGUGAACGCUGGCGGUAGGCCUAACACAUGCAAGUCGAACGGCAGCACAGUAAGAGCUUGCUCUUACGGGUGGCGAGUGGCGGACGGGUGCGGAAUACAUCGGAAUCUACUUUUUCGUGGGGGCUAACGUAGGGAAACUUACGCUAAUACCGCAUACGACCUACGGGGGAAAGCAGGGGAUCUUCGGACCUUGCGCGAUUGAAUGAGCCGAUGUCGGAUUAGCUAGUUGGCGGGGUAAAGGCCCACAAAGGCUACGAUCCGUAGCUGGUCUGAGAGGAUGAUCAGCCACCCUGGAUCUGAGACUCGGUCCCGACUCCUGCGGGAGGCCGCAGUCCGGACUCUUGGACAAUGGGCCCGAGCCUGAUCCUGCCCUAUCGCGUGGGUCAAGAAGCACUUCUGGUUGUAAAGCCCUUUUGUUGGUAAAGAAGAACAGCAGGUUAAUACCCCACUGUUCUGACGGUACCCAAAGAAUAAGCACCGGCUAACUUCGUG